rnacentral:rRNA from 1 species
AGGUCUCAAGCGUUGUUCGGAUUCAUUGGGUCGUAAAGGGUGUGUAGGUGGCGCCGUAAGUCGGGUGUGAAAUUUCGGAGCUUAAACUCCGAAACUGCAUUCGAUACUGCGGUGCUUGAGGACUGGAGAGGAGACUGGAAUUCAUGGUGAGCAGUGAAAUGCGUAGAGAUCAUGAGGAGACCAGUGGCGAAGGCGGGUCAUCUGGACAGUUCGUGCACUGAGACACGAAGGCCAGGGGAGCAAACGGG